rnacentral:rRNA from 1 species
CGCGUAGGCGGCCUUCUAAGUCGAACGUGAAAUCCCCGGGCUCAACCCGGGAAUUGCGUCCGAUACUGGAGGGCUUGAAUCCGGGAGAGGGAUGCGGAAUUCCAGGUGUAGCGGUGAAAUGCGUAGAUAUCUGGAGGAACACCGGUGGCGAAGGCGGCAUCCUGGACCGGCAUUGACGCUGAGGCGCGAAAGCCAGGGGAGCAAACG